rnacentral:rRNA from 1 species
AGUGAACGCUGGCGGUAGGCCUAACACAUGCAAGUCGAACGGCAGCACAGUAAGAGCUUGCUCUUACGGGUGGCGAGUGGCGGACGGGUGAGGAAUACAUCGGAAUCUACUUUUUCGUGGGGGAUAACGUAGGGAAACUUACGCUAAUACCGCAUACGACCUACGGGUGAAAGCAGGGGAUCUUCGGACCUUGCGCGAUUGAAUGACCCGAUGUCGGAUUAGCUAGUUGGCGGGGUAAAGGCCCACCAAGGCGACGAUCCGUAGCUGGUCUGAGAGGAUGAUCAGCAACAGGGGAACUGAGACACGGUCCAGACUCCUACGGGAGGCGGAAGUGGGGAAUAGUGGACAAUGGGCGAAAGCGUGACCCAGCCAUGCGGGGUGGGGGAAGAAGGCCUUCGGAUUGUAAAGCCUUUUUAGUGGGAAAGAAAGGAAGUAAGUUAAUACCUUGCUGUUGUGACGGUACCAAAAGAAUAAGCCCCGGAUAACUUGGUG